ensembl:lncRNA
UCGGCUCCUUCUUCACCAACGUCGACCAGCAGCUGAGUCCCGCCACUGAAAACCACGGAGAAGGAGACGGCGCGUCUGCCGGGCAGAGAGCAAACGCACCAACAUCUGCAGGAGGAAACGCACCGUGAGGACAAAGCGACGCUCACAGAGCAGCUUCUUCAGUUUCUCACCGCAGCAGGAAGAUGAAGCUCAGAGCCGUAUCCAUCCCAAAGGCCUCUAUCUCCAGCCGUUCAAGCUGCCGAGGAGGAAAUACACUGAAAUGAAAUGGUCCUUGGAGCUGCGGCUGCAGUCAGUCUGAAGUCUGAUGAUCUUUGGGUCUGUAAAACAGAAAUAUGAAAACCGUUGAAGCAGAACACCGACAGCCUCCAGAGGAGGGACGCUGCUCUGGGAUCAGAUCGACCGUUGGUUCGCAGCUGGUGACAGAAAAACAGGACAUCUUCUCACUGUGGUUCCAACUGGCGUCCGAGAUAAGAUCCCCACACCAAAGAAACACAAUCGCUACAACACAUAGUGUUGGUCUGUGUAAAACUAGUAUGAUGAGAAUUGUUGUAACAUUCUUCUUUUGGUUUUUUAAUAUUAUUAUAGCAACAUGAAGAUCUUCUUACUGUCGACAUUGUGUUGAAUGAAUCUUUCUGUUGGAUUUCUCUCCAGGGAUUUGAUCCCAAAUACAACUUGACAAUAAUUUUUUAAAGCACUGAUAUUCCACUAUUGUAGAUAUGAUGUACAUGCGUGUUAGUGACGUAAAAAAGAGCAGGUUGUCUCCGGAUGAAACGGCGCCCCCUGUUUGUAACGUGAGUAUAAUCAAACAAUCACAGCGAGUCUAACUGAGAAAAAACAGGUGAAUCUGAUUUCUAAGUAUUGCCGUAUCAUUAUGUAAUAAAAUGUGGCACCGUGGAAGUGAAUUUAGACAACAGUUAGCUGGCUUCCAGCCAUUGCUAAUGCUAAUGCUAAUGCUUCUAGCAUAGGUGGCGGCGGAGUGUCAACAAACAAAAUGGCGUCUCAGCAACACGUGCGCUGUCAUUAUCGGACCGAUGGAGAUGGUUUAAGGACCCUGAAAAAAAAGAGACCCAGCUUCACAUCCCGCUAGCAUCAUUAAAGUUGACAUCGCUGCCCAGCUGCGACGCACACAGGACCGCGACAGUGAAAGUACAACAGACUGAAGAUCCAUCCGACUCGGAUGAAACCGCAUGGCGUCGUUUCUUCUUCUUCUACUCUCCUCCCCGGGUCACGGGGUCACGGCGCAGUAAUAAACUGCCGAGUCGCUCCAUGUGGCGUCGAGCAGCAGCAGCGAGCCGUCGGCUCCAGCGGAGACCUUCCCCGGGCCCACGGCGGCGCCGUACUUCACGUCGGAGGCGUUUGUGGACCUGAAGGCCAGCAGCAGCUCCGGGCGGCGUCCUGCCGCUGUCCGGUACCAGCUGAGGGUGGAGGAGGCGUUGGUGGAGGAGGCGUUGGUGGAGGCGUCCAGCAGGGGGCACCGCAGGGCGGCGUCCUCCCCGACCCUCACCCGCACGGGGGAGGCUGGCAACGCGGCGGCGGCGUGCGGCUCCCACCGGAAACCUGAGACACGUGUUUAUUUAUAAUCGUUUUCAUCCACACAGACAGAAUCAAUAUAACUAAAGUAGGUUGUAGUAGAACUAGUUCUGAGAAGAAAAAAAAAAUGCUUUUGAUUCCAAACAGUAAGAAAUUACAUUUGAAACAAAAGUAAUAAUAUAGCUUUUCAAGUUAAAACGAGAUGGAAAGUUGAUUUAAUUUCGUGCCGCUAAGUGGUGACUGACCAAUAGUUGCACCUCUGAAUAUUUGUUCCUCCAUUAAUCCUGAAUAUUUAAACAUGUAAAGUAUCGUUCAGGCGCUGCAUUUCUAAUCCUUCUUAAAGGAAGCUUUAAUUUGAAGGAACGUUCGGCAUAAAAUCCCUUCAAUUUGCCCAAAAUGAGUCUUCUACCUGUCAACAGUUGAUGCGUUUAGUCACCAGAUUAUGAAUCAGUUGCCUGAAGAUUAUAUUUCAAUAUCAAUUUAAGCAUAAAACUAAAUAUGUGUAUGCAGAGUUUAGACAUUAAUAAUAUAAACAAAACAACUCACUGCUGAAAGAGAGGAUCAGACCAACCAGCAGAGACUCCAUCACUGAGGAAGCUGCUAACUGAAAGACUUCAAUGACAAAGAUGUCCUCCGGUGGUGGAGACACUGAGACAAGAGCCGAUCACACAUCAGUCCCGCUCUGUUAUUGAUCCACACCAACAGCUACUUCCUGUUUACUUCCUGGUGUUGCAGUGAUGGUUGAGCGUGUGGGUCUAAAUCACCAGGGGGGUAAAUGUGACCAUGGAACACCUGCAGGAAGUUUAAGUAACCGCUUGUCUUUUAUAGAUGAGAAUAUUUUCGUUGUAAGAUUGAACUAGUUUAUAAUCCCAAACAGAUUUAAUAAUUAGUUCAAACUUUAGCUAUCAACUCGUUUAUGUCAGCAGAAAAUUAAAACCAUAAAUGAGUGCAGUCGGUAAAUAUAUGAAUUGAAUAUUAUAUUAGGAAUGUGGCAGGUAAAAGUACCCGUGCUACCCAACCAAACCCUGCCGGUGCCUUGGGGAGGAUUUACAGUGGGCAGACUGACCCGUAAACAGGCGUCAGAAAACACUUCCAAGGUUCUAGAACCUCGGGGACGGUCUCAUCUGAACCGCUAUAUUAAUAAUGUUAAUAUUAUUGUUACGAUCAUUAUAAUCACAUUAUUAUUUAUACUACUUAAACGUAUCAUUAUUUUAUAUUAUUAUCUCUGUUAGUAAUAUUUAUGCAUUAUUGCCUUUUUAUUUAUUAUUGUUAUUUAUGUUGUCAUUGUUGUUAUCAUGACAGUUGGACUCUAGGUGUGGCCCC